rnacentral:rRNA from 1 species
GUCCACACCGUAAACGCUGUCUACUAGCUGUUUGUGUAUUUAAUACGUGAGUAGCGAAGCUAACGCGCUAAGUAGACCGCCUGGGGAGUACGGCCGCAAGGUUAAAACUCAAAUGAAUUGACGGGGGCCCGCACAAGCGGUGGAGCAUGUGGUUUAAUUCGAUGCAACGCGAAGAACCUUACCUACUCUUGACAUCCAGGAAAUUUUUCAGAGAUGAAUUAGUGCCUUCGGGAAUCCUGAGACAGGUGCUGCAUGGCU